UACGUAGGGCGCAAGCGUUGUCCGGAAUUAUUGGGCGUAAAGAGCUCGUAGGCGGCUUGUCACGUCGAUUGUGAAAGCCCGAGGCUUAACCUCGGGUCUGCAGUCGAUACGGGCUAGCUAGAGUGUGGUAGGGGAGAUCGGAAUUCCUGGUGUAGCGGUGAAAUGCGCAGAUAUCAGGAGGAACACCGGUGGCGAAGGCGGAUCUCUGGGCCAUUACUGACGCUGAGGCGCGAAGGCUAGGGUAGCAAACAGGG
rnacentral:rRNA from 1 species